rnacentral:rRNA from 1 species
UACGUAGGGGGCAAGCGUUGUCCGGAUUUAUUGGGCGUAAAGAGCGUGUAGGCGGCCAUGUAGGUCCGUUGUGAAAACUCGAGGCUCAACCUCGAGACGCCGAUGGAAACCAUGUGGCUGGAGUCCGGAAGAGGAGAGUGGAAUUCCUGGUGUAGCGGUGAAAUGCGCAGAUAUCAGGAAGAACACCCGUGGCUAAGGCGGCUCUCUAGUACGGUACUGACGCUGAGGUGCGAAAGCGUGGGGAGCAAACAGG